ACGCACGCUGGCGGCGUGCUUAACCCAUGCAAGUCGCACGGAAAGGCCCUGCUUUUGUGGGGUGCUCGAGUGGCGAACGGGUGAGUAACACGUGAGUAACCUGCCCUUGACUUUGGGAUAACUUCAGGAAACUGGGGCUAAUACCGGAUAGGAGCUCCUGCUGCAUGGUGGGGGUUGGAAAGUUUCGGCGGUUGGGGAUGGACUCGCGGCUUAUCAGCCUGUUGGUGGGGUAGUGGCUUACCAAGGCUUUGACGGGUAGCCGGCCUGAGAGGGUGACCGGCCACAUUGGGACUGAGAUACGGCCCAGACUCCUACGGGAGGCAGCAGUGGGGAAUAUUGCACAAUGGGCGGAAGCCUGAUGCAGCAACGCCGCGUGCGGGAUGACGGCCUUCGGGUUGUAAACCGCUUUCGCCUGUGACGAAGCGUGAGUGACGGUAAUGGGUAAAGAAGCACCGGCUAACUACGUG
rnacentral:rRNA from 1 species